UUGGAGAGUUUGAUCCUGGCUCAGGAUGAACGCUGGCGGCACGCUUAACACAUGCAAGUCGAACGAGGUCCAUGGAGCUUGCUCCGGAAGACCUAGUGGCGAACGGGUGCGUAACACGUGAGAAAUCUGCCCCGGACUCUGGAAUAACAGUUGGAAACGACUGCUAAUACCGGAUGCCUUCAUUUGGCCGCAUGGUCGUUUGAAGAAAGAUUUAUCGGUUUGGGAGGAUCUCGCGGCCUAUCAGCUUGUUGGAGAGGUAACGGCUCACCAAGGCAUCGACGGGUAGCUGGUCUGAGAGGAUGAUCAGCCACACUGGAACUGAGACACGGUCCAGACUCCUACGGGAGGCAGCAGUGGGGAAUCUUGCACAAUGGGCGAAAGCCUGAUGCAGCGAUGCCGCGUGCGGGAAGAAGGCCCUAGGGUUGUAAACCGCUUUCAGGAGGGAAGAAAAUGACGGUACCUCCAGAAGAAGGUGCGGCCAACUACGUGCCAGCAGCCGCGGUGACACGUAGGCACCAAGCGUUAUCCGGAUUUAUUGGGCGUAAAGAGCUCGUAGGCGGUUUGGUAAGUCGGGUGUGAAAACUCUGGGCUCAACCCAGAGAGGCCACUCGAUACUGCUAUGACUAGAGUACGGUAGGGGAGCGGGGAAUUCCUGGUGUAGCGGUGAAAUGCGCAGAUAUCAGGAGGAACACCAGCGGCGAAGGCGCCGCUCUGGGCCGUAACUGACGCUG
rnacentral:rRNA from 1 species